UUUGAAAAUGACUGCUUGAUGAUAAAGUUUCAAACAACUAUGAAGUGAGUGGAUGUUCUAGAGAGACUUAUUCUUCAAAGAAUGAAUGAUCAUCAUCAUCCUUAUUUUGGAAUAAAAGGAAGGAAGUGACAGCUACAGUCAUGGUAAAAGUAAAUGCAGUCAGAAGACCUCUGAUAUCACCUGAAGAGCCAGCAUUCUCAAGAUUCUGUAUCAAAUAAAAAUAACAAGGAUUGCUAAAAAGAUUUUUUAUAACUUGCAAAUGUGCAGUCUGUGACAUAACUGUCUGAUCCAGGUAGUUUAGUGUUGACAAGAUGACACUUCAUCUCUAUAGUAGAGGACACAAGUUUGAAAUGCAUAUGCCAUUGUGAAGGCAAAAUGUUUAUGAAAAUAGUGUGUGUGUUUUCCAAAUAGAGAAACUGAAAGUGGGGAAUCAUCAAUUAGUGUUUUUGGAAUAAGUUAUGGACAUCUGAAUAGUGAAGAUCUGUCCCUUUUUUGGAUUGCCACAGACCAAAAUAAUGAUUGGUGCCUUUGACAUAAAUAGAAGAACUCACACUGGACACUCUGAAGAUGGAAUUAUGUUGUUUGCACUAAUGUUUCUUUUUCAGAUUUAUGGAAAAAAAUUAGAAUGUCAUUUCUUAAAAAUGUUGAUAGUUGUUUAACCAAAGGCCCUGUAACUGAAAAAUAUCUUUAUUCUUGACUUUAUAUUAAAAUUAAAAAAAUCUGAUACUGUUUGUUUACUUUUGCAUGUAUAACAUUAAAUUUGUUAUAUUUAAAUUUGAUAAAAUUUAAUGUAUUUUGAAAAAGAUGCACUUGAACAUAUCUAAAUGGAAUAAACACAUGACAGUCUUUGAAUAUCUGUAAAAAAGCACAUGUUAUGCAGUUCUCAUCAGAUUUGGUUACCAAUUUACAGCAUAAUUAAACAUGAAGGCUUAUU